rnacentral:rRNA from 1 species
UGGGGAAUAUUGGACAAUGGGGGGAACCCUGAUCCAGCCAUGCCGCGUGUGUGAAGAAGGCCUUAUGGUUGUAAAGCACUUUAAGCGAGGAGGAGGGUACUGGUAUUAAUACUACCAGGUACUGGACGUUACUCGCAGAAUAAGCACCGGCUAACUCUGUGCCAGCAGCCGCGGUAAUACAGAGGGUGCAAGCGUUAAUCGGAAUUACUGGGCGUAAAGCGCGCGUAGGUGGUUCGUUAAGUUGAAUGUGAAAGCCCCGGGCUCAACCUGGGAACUGCAGCCAAAACUGGCGGGCUAGAGUAGGGCAGAGGGUGGUGGAAUUUCCUGUGUAGCGGUGAAAUGCGUAGAUAUAGGAAGGAACACCAGUGGCGAAGGCGACCACCUGGGCUCAUACUGACACUGAGGUGCGAAAGCGUGGGGAGCAAACAGG